GAUGAACGCUGGCGGCGUGCCUAAUACAUGCAAGUCGAGCGAACAGACGAGGAGCUUGCUCCUCUGACGUUAGCGGCGGACGGGUGAGUAACACGUGGAUAACCUACCUAUAAGACUGGUAUAACUUCGGGAAACCGGAGCUAAUACCGGAUAAUAUAUUGAACCGCAUGGUUCAAUAUUGAAAGACGGUUUUGCUGUCACUUAUAGAUGGAUCCGCGCCGCAUUAGCUAGUUGGUAAGGUAACGGCUUACCAAGGCAACGAUGCGUAGCCGACCUGAGAGGGUGAUCGGCCACACUGGAACUGAGACACGGUCCAGACUACUACGGGAGGCAGCAGUAGGGAAUCGUCCGAAAUGGGGGAAAGCUUGACGGAGCAACGCCGCGUGAGUGAUGAAGGUCUUAGGAUCGUAAAACUCUGUUAUUAGGGAAGAAAAAAUGUGUAAGUAACUAUGGACGUCUUGACGGUAACUAAUCAGAAAGCAACGGCUAACUACGUG
rnacentral:rRNA from 1 species